AGAGUUUGAUCAUGGCUCAGGACGAACGCUGGCGGCGCGCCUAACACAUGCAAGUCGAACGGAGCUGAGAGGAGCUUGCUUUUCUUAGCUUAGUGGCGAACGGGUGAGUAACGCGUGAGUAACCUGCCCUGGAGUGGGGGACAACAGUUGGAAACGACUGCUAAUACCGCAUAAGCCCACGAUCCGGCAUCGGAUUGAGGGAAAAGGAUUUAUUCGCUUCAGGAUGGACUCGCGUCCAAUUAGCUAGUUGGUGAGGUAACGGCCCACCAAGGCGACGAUUGGUAGCCGGACUGAGAGGUUGAACGGCCACAUUGGGACUGAGACACGGCCCAGACUCCUACGGGAGGCAGCAGUGGGGGAUAUUGCACAAUGGGGGAAACCCUGAUGCAGCGACGCCGCGUGGAGGAAGAAGGUUUUCGGAUUGUAAACUCCUGUCGUUAGGGACGAUAAUGACGGUACCUAACAAGAAAGCACCGGCUAACUACGUGCCAGCAGCCGCGGUAAAACGUAGGGUGCAAGCGUUGUCCGGAAUUACUGGGUGUAAAGGGAGCGCAGGCGGACCGGCAAGUUGGAAGUGAAAACUAUGGGCUCAACCCAUAAAUUGCUUUCAAAACUGCUGGCCUUGAGUAGUGCAGAGGUAGGUGGAAUUCCCGGUGUAGCGGUGGAAUGCGUAGAUAUCGGGAGGAACACCAGUGGCGAAGGCGACCUACUGGGCACCAACUGACGCUGAGGCUCGAAAGCAUGGGUAGCAAACAGGAUUAGAUACCCUGGUAGUCCAUGCCGUAAACGAUGAUUACUAGGUGUUGGAGGAUUGACCCCUUCAGUGCCGCAGUUAACACAAUAAGUAAUCCACCUGGGGAGUACGACCGCAAGGUUGAAACUCAAAGGAAUUGACGGGGGCCCGCACAAGCAGUGGAGUAUGUGGUUUAAUUCGAAGCAACGCGAAGAACCUUACCAGGUCUUGACGUCCGAUGCAUAGUGCAGAGAUGCAUGAAGUCCUUCGGGACAUCGAGACAGGUGGUGCAUGGUUGUCGUCAGCUCGUGCCGUGAGGUGUCGGCUUAAGUGCCAUAACGAGCGCAACCCCUCUCCAUAGUUGCCAUCAGGUGAAGCUGGGCACUCUGUGGACACUGCCACCGUAAGGUGCGAGGAAGGUGGGGAUGACGUCAAAUCAGCACGGCCCUUACGUCCGGGGCUACACACGUGUUACAAUGGCAGGUACAGAGAGCCGGUCGUAUGCAAAUACGAUCCAAUCCUUAAAGCCUGUCUCAGUUCGGACUGGGGUCUGCAACCCGACCCCACGAAGCUGGAUUCGCUAGUAAUCGCGCAUCAGCCAUGGCGCGGUGAAUACGUUCCCGGGCCUUGUACACACCGCCCGUCAAGCCAUGAAAGCCGGGGGCGCCUGAAGUCCGUGACCGCAAGGAGCGGCCUAGGGCGAAACUGGUAAUUGGGGCUAAGUCGUAACAAGGUA
rnacentral:rRNA from 1 species